UACGUAGGGUGCGAGCGUUGUCCGGAAUCAUUGGGCGUAAAGAGCUCGUAGGCGGUUUGUCGCGUCUGCUGUGAAAACUCGGGGCUUAACUCCGGGCCUGCAGUGGGUACGGGCAGACUAGAGUGCGGUAGGGGAGACUGGAAUUCCUGGUGUAGCGGUGAAAUGCGCAGAUAUCAGGAGGAACACCGGUGGCGAAGGCGGGUCUCUGGGCCGUAACUGGACGCUGGAGGAGCGAAAGCGUGGGGAGCGAACAGGA
rnacentral:rRNA from 1 species